GGAUAACUACUGGAAACGGUAGCUAAUACCGCAUAACGUCGCAAGACCAAAGAGGGGGACCUUCGGGCCUCUUGCCAUCGGAUGUGCCCAGAUGGGAUUAGCUAGUAGGUGGGGUAACGGCUCACCUAGGCGACGAUCCCUAGCUGGUCUGAGAGGAUGACCAGCCACACUGGAACUGAGACACGGUCCAGACUCCUACGGGAGGCAGCAGUGGGGAAUAUUGCACAAUGGGCGCAAGCCUGAUGCAGCCAUGCCGCGUGUAUGAAGAAGGCCUUCGGGUUGUAAAGUACUUUCAGCGGGGAGGAA
rnacentral:rRNA from 1 species